rnacentral:sRNA from 1 species
GGUUUUCAGGAACUGCUUGGUGAAUCCUUGGGAGUUCCUAGGAACUCUGUCUCCUGUUUCAGCCCGAAAAGCUCUGAGAGUUGUUUUAAAGCCAGAACUUCCAGUCUGCUGUAGUCUUCAAAUAGGAAGCUGAAGUUCAGAGAGGUGGCUGGAUGAAGAUAGUAAGGCUAAUUGUGGAGAGAGAGCUCUGUAGUCCAGACUUACUGUUUCUGCUUUCACAGGGCUGCAUAUUUUUCAGUGCCCUCAGAGACUUACCCCAGGCAUUGUGGUAGAAACUUGUUAAGAGUUGGAGGCAAAGAGGAUUCUUAUCAUUUUGUUACUUUGCAACUACUCUGUUGGCAAUAAACUAAUAAUAAAGAACAUAAUAUGAUACAUUUUCAUAUAUGAAAGCUCUACAUCCAUCUAAAAUAAGCUCUGUAAAGCUAAGGUUCGUGCUUUAUUUUUCUCUGUGUAUCCUCCAUAUCACCUAGGAGUCGUCUUCAUGAAACAAUUAUUGAAGUCAAGUGAUGGGCACAGAGGACUGACAGCUCAAAUAAGGCUUGGUACUUGCCCUUGGAAAAAGUGUACUAGGAUUCUGGUGGGAGGGGUAGACAUAUACAUGGAUAAUUUAUAAUAUAAUGUGGUAAGUACAGAGAGCUGUGGGAACAUAAAGGAAGGAAAAUGAACUUGAGUCUGAGACUGCUCGCUUCUAUUAGAGCCCUCUUCUGUUUUGCUUCAUGUUCAGCCUUCAGGAAGUACUCAUUUCUGUUGACAACUGAAGUUGUCUGUCAGAAAGCAAUGUUGUAAGGUGACUUAUGGCUACAUAUUUUUCCUCAAAAUUGAGGAGAGAGGAAUUUCUAAAGUAGGCAUUAUAUUCUUAAUUUUUAUCUGUGAAUUAAGCCACCCAACUCCUCAGCCCUUUCUCUGUUGACCCUCUACUUCAGAUUACUUUCUAUGAAGACAAAAAUUUUCAAGGCCGUCGCUAUGAGUGUGAUUGCGACUGUGCAGAUUUCCACACAUACCUAAGUCGCUGCAACUCCAUUAAAGUGGAAGGAGGCACCUGGGUUGUUUAUGAAAGGCCCAACUUUGCUGGGUACAUGUACAUCUUACCCCAGGGAGAGUACCCUGAAUACCAGCGUUGGAUGGGCCUCAACGACCGCCUCAGCUCCUGUAGAGCUGUUCAUCUGCCCAGUGGAGGCCAGUAUAAGAUUCAGAUCUUUGACAAAGGGGAUUUUAGUGGUCAGAUGUACGAAACCACCGAAGAUUGCCCUUCCAUCAUGGAGCAGUUUCACAUGCGAGAGAUCCACUCCUGUAAGGUGCUGGAGGGUGUCUGGAUUUUCUAUGAGCUACCCAACUACCGUGGCAGGCAGUACCUCCUGGACAAGAAGGAGUACCGGAAGCCCAUCGAUUGGGGUGCAGCCUCCCCAGCUGUCCAGUCUUUCCGCCGCAUUGUGGAGUAAUGACAUGAAUGGGGCCGUAUUCUUCCUGGGGCCCAAAUGCUGGCUGGCCUUGUGGUCCAAAUAGGCAUCAUCAAUAAAACAGUUGGCAUGCAUCCCA